GACGAACGCUGGCGGCGUGCUUAACACAUGCAAGUCGAACGGAAAGGCCCUGCUUUUGUGGGGUGCUCGAGUGGCGAACGGGUGAGUAACACGUGAGUAAACUGCCCUUGACUUUGGGAUAACUUCAGGAAACUGGGGCUAAUACCGGAUAGGAGCUCCUGCUGCAUGGUGGGGGUUGGAAAGUGUCGGCGGUGUGGGAUGGACUCGCGGCUUAUGAGCUUGUUGGUGGGGUAGUGGCUUACCAAGGCUUUGACGGGUAGCCGGCCUGAGAGGGUGAACGGCCACAUUGGUACUGCGAUACGGACCAGACUCCUACGGUAGGCAGUAGUCGGGAACAUUGCACAUUGGGGCGACGCGUGUUGCAGCAACGCCGCGUGCGGGAUGACGGCCUUCGGGUUGUAAACCGCUUUCGCCUGUGACGAAGCGUGAGUGACGGUAAUGGGUAAAGAAGCACCGGCUAACUACGUG
rnacentral:rRNA from 1 species